UGGGGAAUAUUGCACAAUGGGCGCAAGCCUGAUGCAGCAACGCCGCGUGAACGAUGAAGGUCUUCGGAUCGUAAAGUUCUGUUGCAGGGGAAGAUAAUGACGGUACCCUGUGAGGAAGCCCCGGCUAACUACGUGCCAGCAGCUGCGGUAAUACGUAGGGGGCUAGCGUUAUCCGGAUUUACUGGGCGUAAAGGGUGCGUAGGUGGUCUUUCAAGUCGGUGGUUAAAGGCUACGGCUCAACCGUAGUUAGCCGCCGAAACUGGAAGACUUGAGUGCAGGAGAGGAAAGAGAAAUUCCCAGUGAAGCGGUGAAAUGCGUAGAUAUUGGGAGGAACACGAGUAGCGAGGGAGGAUUUCUGGACUGCAACUGACAAUGAAGCACGAAAGCGUGGGUAGCAAACAGG
rnacentral:rRNA from 1 species